rnacentral:rRNA from 1 species
UCUGGAAACUGUCUGACUNGAGUGCAGAAGGGGAGAGUGGAAUUCCAUGUGUAGCGGUGAAAUGCGUAGAUAUAUGGAGGAACACCAGUGGCGAAAGCGGCUCUCUGGUCUGUCACUGACGCUGAGGCUCGAAAGCGUGGGUAGCGAACAGGAUUAGAUACCCUGGUAGUCCACGCCGUAACCGAUGAGUGCUAGGUGUUAGGCCCUUUCCGGGGCUUAGUGCCGGAGCUAACGCAAUAAGCACUCCGCCUGGGGAGUACGACCGCAAGGUUGAAACUCAAAGGAAUUGACGGGGGCCCGCACAAGCGGUGGAGCAUGUGGUUUAAUUCGAAGCAACGCGAAGAACCUUACCAGGUCUUGACAUCCCGAUGCUAUUCUUAGAGAUAGGAAGUUACUUCGGUACAUCGGAGACAGGUGGUGCAUGGUUGUCGUCAGCUCGUGUCGUGAGAUGUUGGGUUAAGUCCCGCAACGAGCGCAACCCUUAUUGUUAGUUGCCAUCAUUAAGUUGGGCACUCUAGCGAGACUGCCGGUAAUAAACCGGAGGAAGGUGGGGAUGACGUCAAAUCAUCAUGCCCCUUAUGACCUGGGCUACACACGUGCUACAAUGGUCGGUACAACGAGUUGCGAGCCGGUGACGGCAAGCUAAUCUCUGAAAGCCGAUCUCAGUUCGGAUUGGAGGCUGCAACUCGCCUCCAUGAAGUCGGAAUCGCUAGUAAUCGCGGAUCAGCACGCCGCGGUGAAUACGUUCCCGGGCCUUGUACACACCGCCCGUCACACCACGAGAGUUUGUAACACCCGAAGUCGG